rnacentral:rRNA from 1 species
GAUGAACGCUGGCGGCGUGCCUAAUACAUGCAAGUCGAACGAACGGACGAGAAGCUUGCUUCUCUGAUGUUAGGGGCGGACGGGAGAGUAACACGUGGAUAACCUACCUAUAAGAGUGGGAUAACUUCGGGAAACCGGAGCUAAUACCGGAUGAUAUUUUGAACCGUAUGGUUCAAAAGUGAAAGACGGUCUUGCUGUCACUUAUAGAUGGAUCUGCGCUGCAUUAGCUGGUUGGUACGGUAACGACUUAUCAAGGCAACGAGGCAUAGCCGACCUGAGGGAGUGAUAGGCGACCCUAGAACUGGAACAGACUCAAUGGGCCUACGAGACGCAGCAGUAGGCUAUCGUCCGCAAUAGGCGGAAACAUGGCGGAGCAACCCCGCGUGAGAGAUGACGAUCCUCCGAUCGUGAAAACCUGUUUUUAGUGGAGAACCGAUUUCUAAGGAGCUGAACACUUCUUGACGGUACCUAAUCAGGAAGCAACGGCUAACUACGUG